rnacentral:lncRNA from 1 species
GUCUGCCCUAGUUUGUGGGAAGAGGUCGUCUUCUUCUUCGUCCAUCUUCGAGGAGCUCCUCCACGCCCCUCUCCCGUCCUCUAAGAGGCCGCGCCGCUCCGCCUCCGCCGUCGCCGCCGCCUCCGCCGUCGCCGCCGCCGCCGCCGGAGGCGGCGCCCCAUCACCCACCGCCGCCCUCCGCCUCUCCCCGGGCCGGCCCUCCGAUCGGUGCGGCGGCAAUUUGGC